rnacentral:lncRNA from 14 species
AAAACUGCUUUAAUGGAAAGUCCCCCUCCCCCCAAUACACCAUCUGGGCUGGGGUAGAUGUGGCCAGGGCUGGCCCCAGGACAAUACUGAGCCUGUAGUCGUUACCAAAAUAUACAUCUGUCACCAUAAAAAAUGCUGCACCGCCUCAGCCCCACAGGUAUAAAAUCAUAAAUAUUUACACUCUUCCAUGACUUUCACAGAACUGAGGUGCAGGGAACCCCUCCCAUAGAAACAGGCUAGGAUGGAGGUGGGCGUCCAGGAAGGACAUUAAGGCCUAGAGGUCAGCCCCUCAACUGGGCAUAGUCAGAGGCGGGCAGAGAACAAAACUUUGGUCCAAAAUUUGAAGAGGUGCAGGGUAGCUGAGGGAGGAAAGAUGUUCUGAAAGUUCUUGGAGCCAGGUUUCUUGAAGCGGUGCAGCGGUGAGCUGCCAUAGUCCUUGGUCA